GAUAGAUUGACAAAUAGGUAACAUUUUAUUGUUAACAUAAGUAGUUGCACGAUAAAUUAUACAUAUAAUAUUUAUUUUUCAGUGUAUAGCAUAACAAUAUACCUUUCUGCUAUUGAUAGGACAGCGAGGACGGGAAGGGGAAUAAUGCAGAAUUACCAGAUACCAGAUGACUUUCCGUUCUGCUCAACAUUCACAUCAAAAUUCCUCGCCAUCAUCCCAGGUGAUAAAAUGCGCAGAACCUCUGUAAACCGUUAAGAUAAUCAUCAAUGAAUGCGCGAAUGGGUGAAUGAGUGAGUGAGUGAGUGAAUAAACAGUUCGGCACCUCGCA